GGAGAGGUUGAGUUGAACGGUAGGGCGUCUGAUUCCAUGCAGAAGGUCCCAGAUUCAAUCCCUGGCCUCUCCA